AUGGAACUGUUAAAGAUUCACUCAUUGUUCAUUGUUUAUGCUUUGCACUGCUCCUCUUCUUCAAUCAUUUUCAAGGGUUUCACAAGCGUUUUAGAGGUUGCUCAUGCUCACAUAGAAUCAUUUUUUGUGAUUCAAUUUGGGGGAAAAGGAGAUUCAGCUUCAGAGAUUGAGAAAGUGUUGAUUUUUAUGAGGCAAAAGUGA